rnacentral:rRNA from 1 species
GGGGAAUAUUGGACAAUGGGCGCAAGCCUGAUCCAGCCACGCCGCGUGAGUGAUGAAGGCCUUCGGGUCGUAAAGCUCUGUGGGGAGAGACGAACCGCCGAGGAUUAAUACUCUUCGGCAUGACGGUACCUCCUUAGCACGCACCGGCUAACUUCGUGCCAGCAGCCGCGGUAAUACGAAGGGUGCAAACGUUGCUCGGAAUCAUUGGGCGUAAAGCGCACGUAGGCGGCUUCGCAAGUCGGAUGUGAAAUCCCACGGCUCAACCAUGGACGUGCAUUCGAAACUGCGAAGCUUGAGUAUGGAAGAGGGUCGCGGAAUUCCCGGUGUAGAGGUGAAAUUCGUAGAUAUCGGGAGGAACACCAGUGGCGAAGGCGGCGACCUGGGCCAAUAUUGACGCUGAGGAGCGAAAGCCAGGGGAGCAAA